UGUUGUAGACAAGGAUGCCUCAAAAUAGCCUCAGUUAGCCUUGCUACUUUAGCUAGCUAGCUUCUUUACAAUGAUUUGAUGCAGUCAAGACAGGCACUACCAGAUGGUACAGUAUGAUAGACAAACUUGUUGCUGCCAUAGGUUAUCUACUGUAACUAGCAUGAGCUGGUUUGGCUACUUUCUCUCUCUCCCACUGUGGCACACACAUAAGACUGUCACUCACACCGACCCCUGCUCUUCUAUCGCCCCUCCCCCACCCUUCCAAGCAGAGCGCAGUGCACCGGCUCUCUCGUGAGUCGUGCAAGCAAAUCUCCAUUGAAGUAAAAAAAAAAAAGUAACAUUAAAAUCUUUAACAUUUAUUUCGACCCAAUGUGAUGCAACAGUAACAAUAUUGAGUCUCUAGCUUGCCUAAGAUACUCUGUAUUCAUUUUCCCUGUCGGAUCGGAAUUUCCUGCCAGAUUUAGUGCCGCGCUUAAUGAUUGACGAGACUUCUGCCAUGAGCUGAUUGGUUGACUAAGUUAUGACCAGGAAGAGACCACUUCGCUGAAUCGCUAGCAGAGGUGGCUUUAUUACAGUUAUGUUAGCUUGAUGCCAGAAGCUUCUCUACAGAAUACUUUGCAUAGCCAACAGGCGAAAAUGGAAAACGAUAGAGCCUGGGCCAAGACUAGAGUGAACCUCGGAUUUGCGUUCACAACCUGGAGAGGGCUAGCUAGCUAACGAUAGCUAGGGGACUCAAAACCGACAAAGAAUUGUCCUUAUUUCUGCUGAAAAGGUCUUCGUCUGAGCUUGACUACAGCAGCACUUGACUACAACAUCAAUAAUCAUCGUCCAGCCAUGGAGAACGCUUACGGGAAAUGUGUACCUACAGAGUACUCAGAAAUGUUGAUGAAAGGCGCCUUCAACCAAACAUAUGAAUCAUAUGUAAAUAAGGGACGUUUGUGUGGGCAACAAUAAACUUGUGUGAGAAACCA